rnacentral:rRNA from 1 species
GAUGAACGCUGGCGGCGUGCCUAAUACAUGCAAGUCGAGCGAACGGACGAGAAGCUUUCGUGUCUGGUGUUAUCGGCGGACGGGUGAUGAACAUGUGGAUAACCUACCUAUAAGACUGGGAUACCUUCGGGAAACCGUGUCCUAUACCGGAUGAUAUUUUGAACCUCAUUGUGCAAAAGUUAAAUACGGUCUUUCGGUGACUUAUAGACUAACCCGAGCUGCAUUAGUCAGUUGUUAGGGUAGCGGCUUACCAAGGCAACGAUGCAUAGCCGACCUGAGAGGGGGAUCGACAAAACUGGAAAGAGAGCACGGUCAAGACAACUACGGGAGGGAGCAGUAGGGAAUCUUCCGCAAUGGGAGAAAGCCUGAAGGAGCAACGCCGCGUGAGUGAUGAAGGUCGUAGGAUCGUAAAACUCUGUUAUUAGGGAAGAACAUAAGUGUAAGUAACUGUGCACGUCAAGACGAUACCUAAUAAAAAAGGCACGGCUAACUACGUG